rnacentral:rRNA from 1 species
GUCUUUCAAGUCCGAUGCUAAAGACUGGGGCUCAACCCCAGGGGUGCGUUGGAUACUGUGAGGCUAGACGGUCGGAGGGGGUAGCGGAAUUUCCGGAGUAGCGGUGAAAUGCGCAGAUACCGGAAGGAACGCCAAUAGCGAAGGCAGCUACCUGGACGACUUGUGACGCUGAGGCGCGAAAGCGUGGGGAGCAAACCGGAUUAGAUACCCGGGUAGUCCACGCCCUAAACCAUGAGUGCUGGGUGUCCGGCUUCUGCUGGGUGCCGUAGCUAACGCGCUAAGCACUCCGCCUGGGAAGUACGCACGCAAGUGUGAAACUCAAAGGAAUUGACGGGGGCCCGCACAAGCGGUGGAGCAUGUGGUUUAAUUCGAAGCGACGCGAAGAACCUUACCAGGCCUUGACAUGCCCGGAACCCCUCUGAAAGGAGGGGGUGCCCGCAAGGGAGCCGGGACACAGGUGCUGCAUGGCCGUCGUCAGCUCGUGUCGUGAGAUGUUGGGUUAAGUCCCGCAACGAGCGCAACCCCUAUCCCUAGUUGCCAGCAGUUCGGCUGGGCACUCUAUGGAGACUGCCUGCGAAAGCAGGAGGAAGGCGGGGAUGACGUCUGGUCCGCAUGGCCCUUACGGCCUGGGCGACACACGUGCUACAAUGCCAAGGACAGAGUGCUGCUACCUCGCGAGAGGACGCCAAUCGCAAAAACCUUGGCUCAGUUCGGAUUGGAGUCUGCAACUCGACUCCAUGAAGCCGG